GAUGAACGCUGGCGGCGUGCCUAAUACAUGCAAGUCGAGCGAACGGACGAGAAGCUUGCUUCUCUGAUGUUAGCGGCGGACGGGUGAGUAACACGUGGAUAACCUACCUAUAAGACUGGGAUAACUUCGGGAAACCGGAGCUAAUACCGGAUAAUAUUUUGAACCGCAUGGUUCAAAAGUGAAAGACGGUCUUGCUGUCACUUAUAGAUGGAUCCGCGCUGCAUUAGCUAGUUGGUAAGGUAACGGCUUACCAAGGCAACGAUGCAUAGCCGACCUGAGAGGGUGAUCGGCCACACUGGAACUGAGACACGGUCCAGACGCCUACGGGAGGCAGCAGUAGGGAAUCUUCCGCAAUGGGCGAAAGCCUGACGGAGCAACGCCGCGUGAGUGAUGAAGGUCUUCGGAUCGUAAAACUCUGUUAUUAGGGAAGAACAUAUGUGUAAGUAACUGUGCACAUCUUGACGGUACCUAAUCAGAAAGCCACGGCUAACUACGUG
rnacentral:rRNA from 1 species